rnacentral:rRNA from 1 species
AGCCUUAAGAUUUAUUUAAGGUGACGCCUGCCCAGUGCAAGAUGUUAACGGCCGCAGUACCCUGACUGUGCUAAGGUAGCAUAAUCAGUUGGCUUUUAAAUGGAGUCGGGUAUGAAUGGACCUAUGGGGCUAAGCUGUCUCUCCUAUACUUAUUUGAAUUUAUUUAUUAGGUGAAAAUACCUAAAGUUAGAAAAAAGACGAGAAGACCCUAGGAGUUUUUACUAAAGAGUUAAGACUCUACGUUUUUGUUGGGGCGACAGGAGAAGAUUUCAACCUCUCUUAAUAAUAAGCCGACGAAGGUAUGAAAAAUUAAACUACCCUAGGGAUAACAGCGUAAUUCUUUUGAGUUUGCGACCUCGAUGUUGGACUAGGAAUUUGGUGGGCUAGCCGCCUUCUUAUAUUGUUCUGUUCGAACUUGAUUUCCUACAU